rnacentral:misc_RNA from 1 species
GAUGAAGAACGCAGCGAAAUGCGAUAAGUAAUGUGAAUUGCAGAAUUCAGUGAAUCAUCGAAUCUUUGAACGCACAUUGCGCCCCCUGGUAUUCCGGGGGGCAUGCCUGUCCGAGCGUCAUUACAACCCUUAAGCUCAGCUUGGUGUUGGGCCCCGCCGCCCCGGCGGGCCCUAAAGUCAGUGGCGGUGCCGUCCGGCUCCGAGCGUAGUAAUUCUUCUCGCUCUGGAGGUCCGGUCGUGUGCUCGCCAGCAACCCCCAAUUUUUUUCAGGUUGACCUCGGAUCAGGUAGGGAUACCCGCUGAACUUAAGCAUAUCAAUAAGCGGAGGA